AGCGAACGCUGGCGGCAGGCCUAACACAUGCAAGUCGAACGAACCUUUCGGGGUUAGUGGCGGACGGGUGAGUAACACGUGGGAACGUGCCUUUAGGUUCGGAAUAACUCAGGGAAACUUGUGCUAAUACCGAAUGUGCCCUUCGGGGGAAAGAUUUAUCGCCUUUAGAGCGGCCCGCGUCUGAUUAGCUAGUUGGUUGAGGUAAUGGCUCACCAAGGCGACGAUCAGUAGCUGGUCUGAGAGGAUGAUCAGCCACAUUGGGACUGAGACACGGCCCAAACUCCUACGGGAGGCAGCAGUGGGGAAUCUUGCGCAAUGGGCGAAAGCCUGACGCAGCCAUGCCGCGUGAAUGAUGAAGGUCUUAGGAUUGUAAAAUUCUUUCACCGGGGACGAAAUGACGGUACCCGGAGAAGAAGCCCCGGCUAACUUCGUG
rnacentral:rRNA from 1 species